rnacentral:ncRNA from 1 species
UUUUACGGUUCAUGAAAAUGAUUAAUAGGGAAGAUGAGUGUAAUUCUCACACGGUCCCGCCACUGUAAGAAUGAUGAAAGCAGCAUAUUACCACUAAAGAUUUUUCUUUGGGAAGGGCUGUAAGUAAGAUGAAUUUAAGUCAGGAGACCUGCCGUAUAAA